UCAAAUAAAUAAAAUCUUUAAAUAAAAAGAAAAAGGUGCUCCCAUGUUUAAAAAAAAAAACCUAAGUGAAAAGAAUUAGGUGUCCAACCUGAGCCCAGCAUAGCCCUUACCAGGCCAGGUGCCGAGUGCUAUGUGGGCAAAGAGGCCACAGAGAGGCAGGACUCCCUACAGAGCAGGCCCGUGUGGAGGCAGCGUGUCACAACCACUGGACCCAGUGUACAGCACUGAGGACAGCCCAGCAGUCCUCACUGAGGACCUUCCCAGCAGGUCAGGAAAAGCUCUUGGGGUGAUGGGACUGGACCUCUUCCGCGGACAUCACUGCGGCUCUGCCCCAGCACUGCCUGCUCCCUGCUCUGAAAGACCCAGACCCUGGUCCAGGGAUCAGAAGCACUGUGAGACAGAAAUCACAAGGAGGCAGAGAGGAGGCAGAGAGAGA